rnacentral:misc_RNA from 1 species
UUGCAUUUCAACGUUAGGUUAAGACUGAAGUGUUACGAGCGUUGGCGCGUAUUGCAACAUGUUACGCUGAGAAGAGGCGUGAUGUUACGCAGUAGUUGAUCCAGUAUUUUUCGGGAGUGGAAGGCAUUCCAUCCAUGCACGGGUUGGAGACCGCAGCCGCCAAAUUUUAUUCUGUGCAGCUACUCAACUUGACGCUGGCUAGACUUGAGCAGGUGGUUGGAUUGCCCUAGACUUCCGGAACAGUACUUCUGCAGCAUCAACAUGGAUGGUCCGUCGAGUAGCGGGUCUGGCCGGCCGUCCCAGGAGGACGUGGUGCUCCUCAGCGACUCCUCGAGCGACGCGCCGCCCAGGCGAAAGCGAGGCCGCCGCGGCGCCACCGAGGACCCCGACUUCGAGGCCCCCAGCAGCUCCGCGGGGCCCAAACGUCGGCGGACUCCGAAGAAAGGCACCGGCGGUGCGAAGGCCACGACCGGCAAACCGAAGAGCCGAUCGUCGGAGGUAGAUGUGGCUGCUGGUGAGCUCCCCACAGGCUGGAGCGCCCUGCCGCACCCAGUGCUCCUCAAGACGUUCAGUUUGAUGGCCAACGAGGACGUCAUUUCGGCCGGACAGUGCGGUUCUCGCCUCUGGCGGGCUGCGGCGAAGGACCGCUCGGUGUGGCGCGGGAGGCGCCUGUCCUACGACCUGCCGGCGGCCCGCAACCCGAGGGGGGACUGGCACGCGGGGGCGCGGCAGUUCGCGCGGACCAUCCGCUUCGCCCCUUGCCUGGAGCACGUGAGCUGCGCCAAGUCGCUCCGGCCGGCCGCCAAGAAGGCCAUCGCCACCCAGUCGGCCUGCGAGGUGAGGUCCGCGGAGCUGAAUGGGCAGCUCAAGUGGACGGCCAAGUACAUUCUCCGCCAGAAGGACACGCUGCGGGACCUGACGCUGCUGAACCCGACCGUGGACGCCCUCCAGACCGCGCUGGCCCUGCCGCGCCUGAGCGGCCUGGCCGUGUCGUACGAGCGGGACGAGACCCAGGAGAAGUACCAGUCGAGACGCUCGAGGGGCGCAUCGCCGCAGCCGUACUGCGUGCCGGCCGUGCCCAAGAAUACCAAGGGCACGCUCCAGAAGCUGGUGCGGGGGUUGGUCCUGCUGCCGUGGAGUCGCUGGUUCUGGCCAACGCGGCCACCUUGGAGGAGGUGGGGGCGCACUGCUUCCCCGUGGCGGCGCUGCGGCAGUGCCCCCGACUGCAGCGCCUCAUGGUGAAAGUGGACCCUGCCGCCGACGAAGGCCAGCUCCGGGAGCUGCUCGAGGGAAAGGCCCUGGAGUACCUCGCCUUCAUCGGCACCCGCGGCCACGCCCAGGCCCCCUGCGCCGCGCUGCGCGCCUCCCUGCGCGACGCCAAGGCCGUGCGCCUGGCCGUGGUGUGCAGCCCGUGCG